GACGAACGCUGGCGGCGUGCUUAACACAUGCAAGUCGAACGGAAAGGCCCUGCUUUUGUGGGGUGCUCGAGUGGCGAAAGGGUGAGUAACACGUGAGUAACCUGCCCUUGACUUUGGGAUAACUUCAGGAAACUGGGGCUAAUACCGGAUAUGAGCUCCUGCUGCAUGGUGGGGGUUGGAAAGUUUCGGCGGUUGGGGAUGGACUCGAGGCUUAUCAGCUUGUUGGUGGGGUAGUGGCUUACCAAGGCUCUGACGGGUAGCCGGCCUGAGAGGGUGACCGGCCACAUUGGGACUGAGAUACGGCCCAGACUCCUACGGGAGGCAGCAGUGGGGAAUAUUGCACAAUGGGCGGAAGCCUGAUGCAGCAACGCCGCGUGCGGGAUGACGGCCUUCGGGUUGUAAACCGCUUUCGCGUGUGACGAAGCGUGAGUGACGGUAAUGGGUAAAGAAGCACCGGCUAACUACGUG
rnacentral:rRNA from 1 species